rnacentral:misc_RNA from 1 species
UACGGAUGGUGCAAGCGUUAAUCGGAUUUACUGGGCGUAAAGCGUGCGUAGGCGGCUUGAUAAGUCGGAUGUGAAAGCCCCGGGCUCAACCUGGGAAUUGCACCCGAAACUGUCUGGCUAGAGUGUGGUAGAGGAAAGUGGAAUUCCAGGUGUAGCGGUGAAAUGCGUAGAUAUCUGGAGGAACAUCAAUGGCGAAGGCGGUCUUCUGGGCCAACACUGACGCUGAGGCACGAAAGCGUGGGGAGCAAACAGG